AUGAAAUCUAAAAUAUUUAUUUUUACAACUUUACAAGUACUAUGUGUUAAACACUCAACAAGUGUUAAAAACAAAUAUAAGUGUUGAUAUUUUAAAUAUGGCUAAAAUUGUCAUGUUUGUUCAUGUUAUGACUUUCAUUCUUUCUCUAUGUUUUCUCACAAUGAACGUCAACGCGGGGCGCCGUAAAUGUUGUAGAGACGAUGAUUGUCCAGCAAGUGAUUGUAGCACUCCUUCGAUACCUAUGUGUUUUUUCAAAAUGUGUAUAUGUAUUUGAGUGACUUCACAUAUACAUGAUGAUCAAAUCCUAUAAUAUUAAAUAAGUUCUCCUUAGUUGUGGUAUCGACAUCUGAUAAUUUAUUUUUAUUUAGUUGUUUUUUCAAAUUUUAUGGUCUAUAAAUAAUGGCUUUAAAAUAAGGUAUCAAAAAAGAUUAUAUAAACUUUUUUUAAUGCUGGAAUAAUAUAUAUAAUUUAUAUUAUUACGAAUAAUAUA